GAGUUUGAUCAUGGCUCAGAUUGAACGCUGGCGGCAUGCCUUACACAUGCAAGUCGAACGGCAGCAUGAUCUAGCUUGCUAGAUUGAUGGCGAGUGGCGAACGGGUGAGUAAUACAUCGGAACGUGCCCUGUAGUGGGGGAUAACUAGUCGAAAGAUUAGCUAAUACCGCAUACGACCUGAGGGUGAAAGUGGGGGACCGCAAGGCCUCAUGCUAUAGGAGCGGCCGAUGUCUGAUUAGCUAGUUGGUGGGGUAAAGGCCCACCAAGGCGACGAUCAGUAGCUGGUCUGAGAGGACGAUCAGCCACACUGGGACUGAGACACGGCCCAGACUCCUACGGGAGGCAGGCAGUGGGGAAUUUUGGACAAUGGGCGAAAGCCUGAUCCAGCAAUGCCGCGUGUGUGAAGAACGG
rnacentral:rRNA from 1 species